UUUUGUGUUGAGUGUACCUUUCGAAUAAGCACCGGCUAACUACGUGCCAGCAGCCGCGGUAAUACGUAGGGUGCAAGCGUUAUCCGGAAUUAUUGGGCGUAAAGGGCUCGUAGGCGGUUCGUCGCGUCCGGUGUGAAAGUCCAUCGCUUAACGGUGGAUCCGCGCCGGGUACGGGCGGGCUUGAGUGCGGUAGGGGAGACUGGAAUUCCCGGUGUAACGGUGGAAUGUGUAGAUAUCGGGAAGAACACCAAUGGCGAAGGCAGGUCUCUGGGCCGUUACUGACGCUGAGGAGCGAAAGCGUGGGGAGCGAACAGGAUUAGAUACCCUGGUAGUCCACGCCGUAAACGGUGGAUGCUGGAUGUGGGGCCCGUUCCACGGGUUCCGUGUCGGAGCUAACGCGUUAAGCAUCCCGCCUGGGGAGUACG
rnacentral:rRNA from 1 species